GAUAGUAAGAAAGAGAAAGAGAGAAUAAACAAUAAAUUUAUGAAGAAUAGUGAGAAGAAGAGAUGAGACAUUGGAAAAAGAGAAUGGUUGGUUGGUUUCCAUAUUAGCCAAAGGGGUAAAAUUGGUUUUUCCCGAACAUAUUUUCUUCUUAUAUAAUAGAUUGAUUAAUAUAGACUUUUUUUUUAUUUAAAUCAUUAUUUGGAAAAAUAACCUUUUUG
rnacentral:lncRNA from 1 species